GCUUCCCCUCACCCAGGACGGGCUUUGAAGCCCCCCCUGGGAAGGUCGUUUCUACGGGUGACGACCGAGGAACGCGGCGAGCAAAACGUCGGCAAAACGGCUAUUGUGUCCCGAGCGCCGCCCUAAAAAGAGGACAAACGGCUGGCAGAACGGGGACGGGGGCGUAGAGGCGAAGCACGAUGUGAUUGGCCCGCGGCUCCUGAGGCCGCGCGCGCCCGGGGAAGAGCCGAGGGACCUUGCGCGUGCGCAGAGGCGUCCCAGUGCGCCGGCCCGCCUCCCCCACCCCCUUGUGGGGGCGCCCGUCUGGAAGUGGGCGGAGUGCGGGCUGUGAUUAAUGCCUGGCCUAUGGAAGGCAGCGAGUUAAUCUUCCUCGCGCCCGAGAACUUGCUAAUUGAAGUUGAAGGAUUAAACAUCCUCCUGAAAGCUUUCAAGCUAAUGAGGAUUGCAAACUCAGAUGCCUACUUGGCCAACCCCAGAGAGGGCUGUCCAAAGUUGGGGGACACGUGGCCAUGAAAGGGGCUGCAGAGACUAGUUAAACUUGUUACUGUGCGAACUCUGCCGGCUGUUGCCUUUCCUUGGCUUCCUUCUCAACUCCAUGUGUACAGACCUGCCCCAAAGAUCUAUUCAUUAAUCAUUCACUCAAAAAUACAGCCUGAGCGCUUCCUAUAUUGCUGAGUCAUGCCUUCAAGGGUACAUCAUCACAAUCAGUUACCACAGAACAAAGAGAGGUUCCGAGCUGGCGAGUGUGUGUGACGCUGGACAGUCAGGCCUGUCACCUGUCCAAAUACUAAGGGAUACAAAUGGGAUUAGCACAUUAUGGCUAUAAAUUAUUGAUCUCUAAUAAGUCACCCCAGGAUCUGGGGGGACCUUUCUCAGAGAGAUUCCUUACAAUUACAAAGUUAUGUGGAAACACUCUGUCUAAAACCAAGUCAGCACACUGCUUCCUGAUGCACCUGGAGAGUAGAAAAGAACCUGCCUGUCGAAUCAGCUUCAGGGAAGAGAUGAGUUAUGACUAAUGUCCUGGUGGUUGAUUGUUCUGCCCCAGGAGUACACACACAAAGGGUCAGGAGCCUCUCCUUUCUGAAGCCAAGUGUUUGCUGUGCCCACCACCUGCAAGCAUCUUCUCUUGAGCCCUUAACCCCAUUUCUGCUGGCUCACAAAGAGGAAAGCAACCACAUUCUUACAAUCAGUCUUCACUCUAUCCAUACUGAUGGCCUGAGCAAGAGAGGAAGCAGGGGCCCAGACUGGUCAUUUCCAAAGUGGGAUGCACACUCCUGGCGUAGGAGGGGAGCAAGACGUCCCAUUUGGUGUGGAAACUGCUACUAGAAAAUUUCUACUAAUUUUGUCUUAAAAAAAAAAUAAAGCUUUACCAAAAUUUCA